CCUGGAUGGUCCUGCCAAUAGUCAUAUGCUUGUCUCAAAGAUUAAGCCAUCAUGUGUAAGUAUGAACUAAUUCAGAUUGUGAAACUACGAAUGAAUCAUUAAAUCAGUUAUAGUUUGUUUGGUGGUAUUUGCUACUCGGAUAAUCAUAGUAAUUCUAGAGCUAAUAUGUGCAACAAACCCCGACUUCUAAAAUGGAUACAUUUAUUAGAUAAGAGGUCGACACGGGCUUUUUCUAUUGUUCUAAUGAUUCAUGAUAACUUGACAGAUCGCACGGCCUUUGUGCCGGCGAUGCAUUAUUCAAAUUUCUGCCCAAUCAACUUUCGAUGGUAGGAUAAUGGCCUACUAUGGUGGUGACAGGUGAUGGAGAAUUAGGGUUCAAUUUCAGAGAGGGAGCCUGAGAAAUGGCUACCACAUCCAAGGAAGGCAGUAGAUGCGCAAAUUACCCAAUCCUGACACGGGGAGGUAGUGACAAUAAAUAACAAUAUCGGGCUCUACGAGUCUGGUAAUUUGAAUGAGUACAAUCUAAAUCCCUUAACGAGGAUCCAUUGGAGGGAAAGUCUGGUGCCAGCAGUCACUGUAAUUCCAGCUCCAAUAGCGUAUAUUUAAGUUGUUGUAGUUAAAAAGCUCGUAGUUGGACCUAGGGGUAGGUCGGCCGGUCCGCCUCACGGUGAGCACCGGUCUGCUCGUCCCUACUGCCGACAAUGAGCUCUUGGCCUUAAUUGGCUAGGUCGUUCCUCCGGCGCUGUUACUUUAAAGAAAUUAGAGUGCUCAAAGCAGGCCUAUGCUUGUAUACAUUAGCAUGGGAUAACAUCCCAGGAUUUCGAUCAUAUUGUGUUGGACUUCAGGAUUGGAGUAAUGAUUAACACAGACAGCCGGGGGCAUUCGUAUUUCAUAGUCAGAGGUAAAAUUCUUGGAUUUAUGAAAGACGAACAACUGCGAAAGCAUUUGCCAAGGAUGUUUUCAUUAAUCAAGAAUAAAAGUUGGGGGCUCGAAGACUAUCAUGAUACCGUCCUAGUUAGUGGUGGUGCAUAGCUGUUCUUAGUUGGUGGAGCGAUUUGUCUGGUUAAUUCUGUUAACGAACGAGACCUUAGCCUGUUAACUAGCUACACGGAGGUGAUCCUACGUGGCUAGCUUCUUAGAGGGACUAUGGCCAUUUAGGCCAAGGAAGGUUGAGGAAAUAACAGGUCUGUGAUGCCCUUAGAUGUUCUGGGCCGUACGCGGGCUACACUAAUGUAUUUAACGAGUCUAUAGCCUUGGCCGACAUGCCAGGUAAUCUUUGAAAUUUCAUUGUGAUGGGGAUAGAUCAUUGCCAUUGUUGGUCUUCAACGAGAAAUUCUUAGUAAGCGCGCGUCAUAAGCUCGCGUUAACUACGUCCCUGCCCUUUGUACACACCCCGCAUCGCUUAUAUCGAUUGAAUGAUCCGGUGAAGUGUUCGAAUCACGACGACGUGGCCGAUUCGCUACCCGCGACGUCGCGAUAAUUCCACUGAACCUAAUCAUUUAGAGGAAUGAAAAGUCGUAACAAGGUGUCCAUAGGUGAACCUGCGGAAG
rnacentral:rRNA from 1 species